AUCCGGCAGCAAAAGUGCCGGAUCCGGUGGCGGGAAAGCUCAAUCCGGUGGCGAGGACUCCCGGCACGCGCUGCUGUCCCCGGUGCGGAGCAUGGAGGUUCUCUACUGUACCGCCGCCGGCGAGGGUUAGCUUACCACAGAAGAAAUGCCUCCGCCUCCGCCCUGCUGCGGCCACAUGAGAUCCCUGCAACUGCCGCCCAAGACUCUCAUCGCCUGCCAUGACCGCCCCCAAAGAGGACCUGCUCUGCUCCCGCCGGCGACGAUGACUUGGCGGUCGACCGACGACGAGAUUUCUGCGUUAAUAUUAACGAUGGAGGGUGCAAUCAGCAGAAAUGCGUGGCCAUUUGCGCUGCGUCCGGCUACGACAAGAACAAGGCGUUCUGCCAAAACGAAACCAACAAAUGCUGCUGUCCGACGGGCGCACGGUCGUGAUUCAUCGUCGCCUAUAUACUGCAUGCAUAUAUGCAUGGCGAAAUAAUUAGAAACCGGCCUCUCGGGCCGUUUGUACUUCACCUGGUUCGUUUUUUAAUAAAUAUCGGAAGACUUUGGGUGA